rnacentral:rRNA from 1 species
GCUGACGAGUGGCGGACGGGUGAGUAAUGUCUGGGAAACUGCCUGAUGGAGGGGGAUAACUACUGGAAACGGUGGCUAAUACCGCAUAACGUCGCAAGACCAAAGAGGGGGACCUUCGGGCCUCUUGCCAUCAGAUGUGCCCAGAUGGGAUUAGCUUGUUGGUGAGGUAACGGCUCACCAAGGCGACGAUCCCUAGCUGGUCUGAGAGGAUGACCAGCCACACUGGAACUGAGACACGGUCCAGACUCCUACGGGAGGCAGCAGUGGGGAAUAUUGCACAAUGGGCGCAAGCCUGAUGCAGCCAUGCCGCGUGUAUG